rnacentral:snRNA from 1 species
GUGCUCGCUUCAGCAGCACAUAUACUAAAAUUGGAACCAUACAGAGAUUAGCAUGGCCCCUGGGCAAGGAUGACACGCAAAUUCGUGAAAUGUACCAUAUUUUU